rnacentral:tRNA from 1 species
GGAGAAAUGGCAGAUAUGGGAUGCUUUUAGCUUGAAACUAAAAAGAUAAAGGUUCAAAUCCUUUUUUCUCUU